AUUGAACGCUGGCGGCAUGCUUUACACAUGCAAGUCGAACGGCGGAACGGGCUUCGGCCUGGUGGCAAGUGGCGAACGGGUGAGUAAUAUAUCGGAAAGCACCCCGGAGAGGGGGAUCACGUCGCGAAAACUACGCUUAUACCGCAUACGAUCUACGGAUGAACGCAGGGGAGCGCAAGGCCAGCUGCUCCUGGAGCGGCCGAUAGCUGAUUAGCUAGUUGGUGAGGUAAAGGCUCACCAAGGCGACGAUCAGUAGCUGGUCUGAGAGGACGACCAGCCACACUGGAACUGAGACACGGUCCAGACUCCUACGGGAGGCAGCAGUGGGGAAUUUUGGACAAUGGGCGCAAGCCUGAUCCAGCAAUGCCGCGUGAGUGAAGAAGGCCUUCGGGUUGUAAAGCUCUUUUGUCAGGGAAGAAACGGUAGAGGCUAAUAUCCUUUGCUAAUGACGGUACCUGAAGAAUAAGCACCGGCUAACUACGUG
rnacentral:rRNA from 1 species